rnacentral:rRNA from 1 species
UACGUAGGCAGCAAGCGUUGUUCGGAGUUACUGGGCGUAAAGAGUAUGUAGGCGGUUGCGUAAGUUCGGUGUGAAAUCUCCCUGCUCAACGGGGAGGUGCACUGUAACUGGUGAGCUAGAGGACGGUAGAGGGGGUGGAAUUGCUGGUGUAGCGGUGAAAUGCGUAGAGAGUCAGCAGGAACACCCGUGGCGAAGGCGGCCCCUGGCCGUACCUGACGCUGAGGCGG